rnacentral:lncRNA from 1 species
UCCAGAGCUAACAGGAGCGACCCCCAGUUAUUCCAAGGUAUUGCUAGGGGGCAAGGAGUGGGGCACGGGACCUUUCCCCUCUAGGGGGCGCUGGCCCUGAUCCAGUUCCCGGGCAGGGACUGGCUGGCUCAGGGUGCGAGUGGCUCUGUGUUAUUUCUAUUCCCAGAUCCUGGCACCCUGGUGGUGAACGGGUCACAGCUCACGGCCCGGGAGGGCGACUCCCUGCGGUUCGUCUGCUCUGUCGCCAGCAACCCCCCCGCUGUGCUGGGCUGGGUGAGGGGGGGCCGAGCCAUCGAGGGCACCUGCCCCACANCAGCUCACGGCCCGGGAGGGCGACUCCCUGCGGUUCGUCUGCUCUGUCGCCAGCAACCCCCCCGCUGUGCUGGGCUGGGUGAGGGGGGGCCGAGCCAUCGAGGGCACCUGCCCCACAGAGGAGAAUCAGCUGCGGCUGGAGCUGCCCAACGUGACGGCCGAUGACAGGGGGCUGUACGGGUGCUGGGCCCAGAACAAGGAAAGCUCUGCCCAGGGGACGUUCCAGCUGCUCGUCGAGUGUGCGGAGGAGGCUGGCAAGCUGCUGGGUGUCGGGGUGGCCUGUGGGCUGGGGGUCGCCAUCGCCUUCUUCCUUCUCGGGCUCUGUGUGAUCAAGCUGCGGGGCCGGGAGCCGGCGCUCCCCAGCGCUGAGGCCGGGGACAUGGCUAAUGGGAGUCAGGCCGAGCACACAGCCGACGACGCCAGCCUGAUCUACAGUAACGUCACCACCAUCCCCAUGGAUCACAAGACUCCAGACAAAGACGUUCAGGACGGGGCUGCAGCAGCCCAUUCCCCACUAGGCCCCAGGGAACCGGACGAGCUGCAUUAUGCCACCAUUGACUUCUCCAAGCUGCAGCACAAACGGGGGGAGCCUGCGGAGGCCCCCGCCACGGAAUAUUCCGAGGUCCGGCUGAAAUAGCCCCCUCGUGCCAUGGGCCUAGGCUGGGCGUCUCCAGCCUGUCCAGUGAGGGAGGGGGUCAAAGUGAGAGGGAAAUGCAGCAAGGGGUCAGCCCUGAGUUGGAAACCUGGGUGCAAAUCCCUGCUCCGCCCCAGACUCUGGGCAGUCAAGUAGGCCUUGGAGAGGCUGGAGUGCUGCAUUGUGGGGUGGUAUCCCAGAGUCCCCUGCAGCCGGGUCCCAAAGCCUGCCCCCUCCCAAACCCCACUGCCCCCGGGGGAAAGAGCCUCUCACCCCCCAGCCCCAGAGAGUCUCUCUUCUACCCUGCCUGAGCCCUCACCCACUCGCUUCACAGAUGGGCAGGAUGGUCACACUCAGGGGCAGCAGCUGGCGGGAGCUGGGAUGACCAGACAGUAGGUGUGAAAAAUCAGGAGAGGGGGUGGGGGUAAUAGGAGCCUAUUCAGUUUCUCCUCACUUAACAUCCUCCCGCUCGCCGUUUUUUCCAAGUUACGUCGCUGCUCCCUUAGGGAACGUGCUCCUGUAAAGCUGUGUGCACCACGCUCCCUUCUAACGGGGUUUGGGGGACUUUACAAGUUCCUCUUCUCCACCUCCCCCCCUUCCUCCCUGCCUCCCAGUGCUUCUCCUUCAAAGCCGGAGGGAGAGAAGCGGCCGUUUGAAGGGGAAGUGCCACUUCUCUCUGGCCGCUGGCUGUGCAGCUGCCCCUGCUCCGCCCUGGGCCGGAGGCCUCAGGGCCACUUUCCAAAAGGGGCUUCAGAGCUGUAGGCCAGGGCCCGGGGCCCCCUUAGCCCAGGGACUUGCAGCCCCUAAAGCCCCUGCAUUCCAAGUGCCCUGCCUGCUGGGGGGGUGGAUCCCAGAAUCACGGCCAUGGGGGCGGCGCAGCGCUGCACAGAGCCACCUGCACACCCCCUGCACCAAACAGCAGCUGCCCCAGGGUAAGUGCUCUGCACCUCCUGCCUGCCUCAGCCUGGAGCCCCCUCCCGCAUCCUAAUUCCCUCCUAGACCC